rnacentral:rRNA from 1 species
CAGCAGCCGCGGUAAUACGUAGGUGGCAAGCGUUGUCCGGAAUUAUUGGGCGUAAAGGGCUCGCAGGCGGCUUCUUAAGUCUGAUGUGAAGGCCCCCGGCUCAACCGGGGAGGGUCAUUGGAAACUGGGAAACUUGAGUGCAGAAGAGGAGAGUGGAAUUCCACGUGUAGCGGUGAAAUGCGUAGAGAUGUGGAGGAACACCAGUGGCGAAGGCGACUCUCUGGUCUGUAACUGACGCUGAGGAGCGAAAGCGUGGGGAGCGAACAGGAUUAGAUACCCCCGUAGUCCCUGUCUCUUAUAC